rnacentral:rRNA from 1 species
GACAGAGGGUGCAAACGUUUGUUCGGAAUUACUGGGCGUAAAGCGAGUGUAGGCGGUUUCCUAAGUCAGGUGUGAAAGCCCCGGGCUCAACCCGGGAAGUGCACUUGAAACUGGGAGGCUAGAGUAUCGGAGAGGUUGGUGGAAUUCUCGGUGUAGAGGUGAAAUUCGUAGAUAUCGAGAGGAACACCGGUGGCGAAGGCGGCCAACUGGACGAAUACUGACGCUGAGACUCGAAAGCGUGGGGAGCAAACAGGAUA